GGGAUUAAAGACAUGCGCCUCCACU
rnacentral:misc_RNA from 1 species